ACCACCCGGAGAUUCAGUGCGUCCGAUGCUAUCGACUCUAUCUAUAACAUCUAGAGCCUUGAUUCGAUCGAUAUCAUAUUCAAUUAUGUUGAUCGAACGUCUUUCUGAUUUCAAAUUCAUUUUCUUGUCAUUCUCAUACCUGUUGUUGCUGCUGCUGUUUGAACAGUGACUGUUGCGUCUAACAAGUUGAAUGUUUUCCAUAAAUGAGUUUGGUUUUCCAAAUUCCAUGCUUUUACUUAUUCCCGGUGUCAAUUCACUGGAUUUUACUUGCAUCAGCAUUUCUCGAUCUUCGUCUGUAAGUGUGGUUGAUGUCAUGCCUGGCAUAUUAUUAUUUGAUGGUGCAAUGACUAUGGUGGUUUGACACAGGGGUCUGAUCGGCGAUUUCAUCCUGGAAUUUUGGCUUAAGGCAAUGAGAUGGUGAAGCCACACGACUAAAUCAAGUAUGUAAGCUU
rnacentral:lncRNA from 1 species